GGGGCCAUAGCUCAGCUGGGAGAGCGCUUGCAUGGCAUGCAAGAGGUCACGGGUUCGAUCCCCGUUGGCUCCA
rnacentral:tRNA from 1 species